UACGGGGGGGGCAAGCGUUGUUCGGAAUUACUGGGCGUAAAGGGCUCGUAGGUGGCCAACUAAGUCGGACGUGAAAUCCCUCAGCUUAACUGGGGAACUGCGUCCGAUACUGGAUGGCUUGAGUUUGGGAGAGGGAUGCGGAAUUCCAGGUGUAGCGGUGAAAUGCGUAGAGAUCGGGAGGAACAUCUGUGGCGAAGGCGGCCAUCUGGACCAGCACUGACACUGAGGCACGAAAGCGUGGGGAGCAAACAGG
rnacentral:rRNA from 1 species